UGCAGUCGAACGGCAGCACGGGAGCAAUCCUGGUGGCGAGUGGCGAACGGGUGAGUAAUACAUCGGAACAUGUCCAGUAGUGGGGGAUAGCCCGGCGAAAGCCGGAUUAAUACCGCAUACGAUCUACGGAUGAAAGCGGGGGAUCGCAAGACCUCGCGCUAUUGGGGUGGCCGAUGGCGGAUUAGCUAGUUGGUGGGGUAAAGGCCUACCAAGGCGACGAUCCGUAGCUGGUCUGAGAGGACGACCAGCCACACUGGGACUGAGACACGGCCCAGACUCCUACGGGAGGCAGCAGUGGGGAAUUUUGGACAAUGGGCGAAAGCCUGAUCCAGCAAUGCCGCGCGUGUGAAGAAGGCCUUCGGGUUGUAAAGCACUUUUGUCCGGAAAGAAAUCCUGAUGGCUAAUAUCCGUCGGGGAUGACGGUACCGGAAGAAUAAGCACCGGCUAACUACGUGCCAGCAGCCGCGGUAAUACGUAGGGUGCGAGCGUUAAUCGGAAUUACUGGGCGUAAAGCGUGCGCAGGCGGUGAUGUAAGACCGAUGUGAAAUCCCCGGGCUUAACCUGGGAACUGCAUUGGUGACUGCAUCGCUAGAGUAUGGCAGAGGGGGGUAGAAUUCCACGUGUAGCAGUGAAAUGCGUAGAGAUGUGGAGGA
rnacentral:rRNA from 1 species